CAUGCAGUCGAACGCUUCUUUCCUCCCGAGUGCUUGCACUCAAUUGGAAAGAGGAGGGAGGACGGGUGAGUAACACGUGGGUAACCUACCCAUCAGAGGGGGAUAACACUUGGAAACAGGUGCUAAUACCGCAUAACAGUUUAUGCCGCAUGGCAUAAGAGUGAAAGGCGCUUUCGGGUGUCGCUGAUGGAUGGACCCGCGGUGCAUUAGCUAGUUGGUGAGGUAACGGCUCACCAAGGCCACGAUGCAUAGCCGACCUGAGAGGGUGAUCGGCCACACUGGGACUGAGACACGGCCCAGACUCCUACGGGAGGCAGCAGUAGGGAAUCUUCGGCAAUGGACGAAAGUCUGACCGAGCAACGCCGCGUGAGUGAAGAAGGUUUUCGGAUCGUAAAACUCUGUUGUUAGAGAAGAACAAGGACGUUAGUAACUGAACGUCCCCUGACGGUAUCUAACCAGAAAGCCACGGCUAACUACGUGCCAGCAGCCGCGGUAAUACGUAGGUGGCAAGCGUUGUCCGGAUUUAUUGGGCGUAAAGCGAGCGCAGGCGGUUUCUUAAGUCUGAUGUGAAAGCCCCCGGCUCAAACGGGGAGGGUCAUUGGAAACUGGGAGACUUGAGUGCAGAAGAGGAGAGUGGAAUUCCAUGUGUUAGCGGGUGAAAUGCGUAGAUAUA
rnacentral:rRNA from 1 species